rnacentral:tRNA from 1 species
GGGGUGCUAGCUCAGCUGGGAGAGCGCUUAUUUGCUUGCAAAUAAGAGGUCAGUGGUUCAAGCCCAUUGCGCUCCA